rnacentral:pre_miRNA from 1 species
AAAAAGACAAACCCUGGGUUUCCGUGUUCAACUUUGAUCGUCCGUCUUAUAUGAAAUUUUUUUAUAAUUCGUAUUUUUAUUGUUGUUAGAUAAUAAAACAUGAUUAAUAUUUUAUGCGUGACUUGUCUUUUUAAUUUUUUUAAAUAAGACGAACGGUCAAACGUUAGGCACGGAAACCAGGGUUUAUCUUUUU